rnacentral:rRNA from 1 species
CACGUAGUUAGCCGGGGCCUCUUAGUCAGGUACCGUCAUUUUCUUCCCUGCUGAUAGAGCUUUACAUACCGAAAUACUUCAUCGCUCACGCGGCGUCGCUGCAUCAGGGUUUCCCCCAUUGUGCAAUAUUCCCCACUGCUGCCUCCCGUAGGAGUCUGGGCCGUGUCUCAGUCCCAAUGUGGCCGUCCACCCUCUCAGGCCGGCUACUGAUCGUCGGCUUGGUGGGCCGCUACCCCACCAACUACCUAAUCAGACGCGGGUCCAUCUUACACCACCUCAGUUUUUACCACUGCACCAUGCAGUACUGUGGUCUUAUGCGGUAUUAGCAGUCAUUUCUAACUGUUAUCCCCCUGUGUAAGGCAGGUUACCCACGCGUUACUCACCCGUCCGCCGCUCAGUCACAUAUGUCUUCCUCCGAAGAUUCUAACUUAUGCGCUUCGCUCGACUUGCAUGUGUUAGGCACGCCGCCAGCGUUCAUCCUGAGCCAGGAU